UUGAAGAGUUUGAUCAUGGCUCAGAUUGAACGCUGGCGGCAGGCCUAACACAUGCAAGUCGAACGGUAACAGGAAGAAGCUUGCUUCUUUGCUGACGAGUGGCGGACGGGUGAGUAAUGUCUGGGAAACUGCCUGAUGGAGGGGGAUAACUACUGGAAACGGUAGCUAAUACCGCAUAACGUCGCAAGACCAAAGAGGGGGACCUUCGGGCCUCUUGCCAUCGGAUGUGCCCAGAUGGGAUUAGCUAGUAGGUGGGGUAAAGGCUCACCUAGGCGACGAUCCUAGCUGGUCUGAGAGGAUGACCAGCCACACUGGAACUGAGACACGGUCCAGACUCCUACGGGAGGCAGCAGUGGGGAAUAUUGCACAAUGGGCGCAAGCCUGAUGCAGCCAUGCCGCGUGUAUGAAGAAGGCCUUCGGGUUGUAAAGUACUUUCAGCGGGGAGGAAGGGAGAGUAAAGUUAAUACCUUUGCUCAUUGACGUUACCCGCAGAAGAAGCACCGGCUAACUCCGUGCCAGCAGCCGCGGUAAUACGGAGGGUGCAAGCGUUAAUCGGAAUUACUGGGCGUAAAGCGCACGCAGGCGGUUUGUUAAGUCAGAUGUGAAAUCCCCGGGCUCAACCUGGGAACUGCAUCUGAUACUGGCAAGCUUGAGUCUCGUAGAGGGGGGUAGAAUUCCAGGUGUAGCGGUGAAAUGCGUAGAGAUCUGGAGGAAUACCGGUGGCGAAGGCGGCCCCCUGGACGAAGACUGACGCUCAGGUGCGAAAGCGUGGGGAGCAAACAGGAUUAGAUACCCUGGUAGUCCACGCCGUAAACGAUGUCGACUUGGAGGUUGUGCCCUUGAGGCGUGGCUUCCGGAGCUAACGCGUUAAGUCGACCGCCUGGGGAGUACGGCCGCAAGGUUAAAACUCAAAUGAAUUGACGGGGGCCCGCACAAGCGGUGGAGCAUGUGGUUUAAUUCGAUGCAACGCGAAGAACCUUACCUGGUCUUGACAUCCACAGAACCUUGUAGAGAUACGAGGGUGCCUUCGGGAACUGUGAGACAGGUGCUGCAUGGCUGUCGUCAGCUCGUGUUGUGAAAUGUUGGGUUAAGUCCCGCAACGAGCGCAACCCUUAUCCUUUGUUGCCAGCGGUCCGGCCGGGAACUCAAAGGAGACUGCCAGUGAUAAACUGGAGGAAGGUGGGGAUGACGUCAAGUCAUCAUGGCCCUUGACGAGGGGCUACACGUGCUACAAUGGCGCAUACAAAGAGAAGCGACCUCGCGAGAGCAAGCGGACCUCAUAAAGUGCGUCGUAGUCCGGAUUGGAGUCUGCAACUCGACUCCAUGAAGUCGGAAUCGCUAGUAAUCGUGGAUCAGAAUGCCACGGUGAAUACGUUCCCGGGCCUUGUACACACCGCCCGUCACACCAUGGGAGUGGGUUGCAAAAGAAGUAGGUAGCUUAACCUUCGGGAGGGCGCUUACCACUUUGUGAUUCAUGACUGGGGUGAAGUCGUAACAAGGUAACCGUAGGGGAACCUGCGGUUGGAUCACCUCCUU
rnacentral:rRNA from 1 species